rnacentral:rRNA from 1 species
AUUGAACGCUGGCGGCAGGCCUAACACAUGCAAGUCGAACGAGUGGCGGACGGGUGAGUAAUGUCUGGGAAACUGCCUGAUGGAGGGGGAUAACUACUGGAAACGGUAGCUAAUACCGCAUACCAUCAGAUGUGCCCAGAUGGGAUUAGCUUGUUGGUGGGGUAACGGCUCACCAAGGCGACGAUCCCUAGCUGGUCUGAGAGGAUGACCGGCCACACGGGAACUGAGACACGGUCCAGAGUCCUACGGGAGGCAGCAGUGGGGAAUAGUGCACAAUGGGCGAAAGCCUGAUGCAGCCAGGCGGCGUGUAUGAAGAAGGCCGUCGGGUUGUAAAGUACUUUCAGCGGGGAGGCGUUACCCGCAGAAGAAGCACCGGCUAACUCCGUGCCAGCCGCCGCGGUAAUUC